UACGGAGGGUGCAAGCGUUAAUCGGAAUUACUGGGCGUAAAGCGCACGCAGGUGGCUGAGUCAGUCGAUUGUGAAAGCCCUGGGCUUAACCUGGGAAUUGCAGUCGAUACUACUCAGCUAGAGUAUGGGAGAGGGCAGUGGAAUUCCCGGUGUAGCGGUGAAAUGCGCAGAUAUCAGGAAGAACACCCGUGGCGAAGGCGGUUCUCUGGGACGGUACUGACGCUGAGACGCGAAAGCGUGGGGAGCGAACAGG
rnacentral:rRNA from 1 species